CUCGAACCAUCCUACCAGGUAUGGCUGCACACUAGUAUGAUGAUGUACCUCUUCACAGAGCGUUGAGACAAUAUAGACACACACUUUCAAUUUCUUAAUUAUUGCCCUUAUGGUGGAAAUGGGUGUAACGGACCGUUUUGCACACAAGGGGUAAAAACCAUUUAGGCGAUCGUCCCCCUUUCCAGAGAUGCAGGCACAGCUAUUGUAGAACACCAAAAUC